UGUUGCUUUAUUAAGCGCCCGUAGCUCAAUUGGAUAGAGCGUUUGACUACGGAUCAAGAGGUUAGGGGUUCGACUCCUCUCGGGCGCGCCAUUUACGGGAAGUAGCUCAGCUUGGUAGAGCACUUGGUUUGGGACCAAGGGGUCGCAGGUUCAAAUCCUGUCUUCCCGACCAUUUCGUACAACAAAUUGAAUAUGCGGGUGUAGUUUAGUGGUAAAACCUCAGCCUUCCAAGCUGAUGUCGAGGGUUCAAUUCCCUUCACCCGCUCCAUUUAGAUAAUGGGCCUGUAGCUCAGCUGGUUAGAGCGCACGCCUGAUAAGCGUGAGGUCGGUGGUUCAAGUCCACUCAGGCCCACCAUUAUUUGAUCUUUGAAAACUGAACAAAACAAUCAUUAUGUCAAGCAAGAAAUGCUAGUCAAGUUUUCGAGCAAGCAAGCUCACAUUUUAUGGAGAGUUUGAUCUUGGCUCAGGACGAACGCUGGCGGCGUGCCUAAUACAUGCAAGUCGAGCGCGGGAAGCAAGCAAUCACCCUUCGGGGUGUGCGCUUGUGGAACGAGCGGCGGACGGGUGAGUAACACGUGGGCAACCUGCCUGUAAGACUGGGAUAACCCCGGGAAACCGGGGCUAAUACCGGAUAACACUUUUCUCUGCAUGGNGUAGUAGUUGGUCGUAGACCCGAAACCGUGUGAUCUACCCAUGUCCAGGGUGAAGGUCAGGUAACACUGACUGGAGGCCCGAACCCACGCGUGUUGAAAAACGCGGGGAUGAGGUGUGGGUAGGGGUGAAAUGCCAAUCGAACACGGAGAUAGCUGGUUCUCUCCGAAAUAGCUUUAGGGCUAGCCUCAAGAGUUGAGUACUGGAGGUAGAGCACUGAUUGGACUAGGGGCCCUCAUCGGGUUACCGAAUUCAGUCAAACUCCGAAUGCCAGCUACUCGAUCUUGGGAGUCAGACUAUGGGUGAUAAGGUUCAUAGUCGAAAGGGAAACAGCCCAGACCGCCAGCUAAGGUCCCAAAGUAUACGUUAAGUGGAAAAGGAUGUGGAGUUGCUUAGACAACCAGGAUGUUGGCUUAGAAGCAGCCAUCAUUUAAAGAGUGCGUAAUAGCUCACUGGUCGAGUGACUCUGCGCCGAAAAUAUACCGGGGCUAAACGUAUCACCGAAGCUGCGGAUUGUUCUUGCGAACAAUGGUAGGAGAGCGUUCUAAGUGCAGCGAAGUCAGACCGUGAGGACUGGUGGAGCGCUUAGAAGUGAGAAUGCCGGUAUGAGUAGCGAAAAAAGAGUGAGAAUCUCUUUCACCGAAAGCCUAAGGUUUCCUGAGGAAGGCUCGUCCGCUCAGGGUUAGUCGGGACCUAAGCCGAGGCCGAAAGGCGUAGGCGAUGGACAACAGGUGGAUAUUCCUGUACCACCUCCUUUCCGUUUGAACGACGGGGGGACGCAGGAGGAUAAGGAGAGCGCACGAUUGGAAAUGUGCGUCCAAGCAGUAAGAGAGUUGGAAUAGGCAAAUCCGUCCAACAAUCUCAAGCUGUGACGGGGAGGGAACAUAAGUACCGAAGCUCCGGAUUUCAUACUGCCAAGAAAAGCCUCUAGUGAGGAAAGAGGUGCCCGUACCGCAAACCGACACAGGUAGGCGAGGAGAGAAUCCUAAGGUGAGCGGGAGAACUCUCGUUAAGGAACUCGGCAAAAUGACCCCGUAACUUCGGGAGAAGGGGUGCUUCUUUUGCGAGAAGCCGCAGUGAAAAGGCCCAAGCGACUGUUUAGCAAAAACACAGGUCUCUGCGAAGCCGUAAGGCGAAGUAUAGGGGCUGACACCUGCCCGGUGCUGGAAGGUUAAGGGGACGCGUUAGCCGCAAGGCGAAGCGUUGAACCGAAGCCCCAGUAAACGGCGGCCGUAACUAUAACGGUCCUAAGGUAGCGAAAUUCCUUGUCGGGUAAGUUCCGACCCGCACGAAAGGUGCAACGACUUGGGCACUGUCUCAACGAGAGACCCGGUGAAAUUAUACUAUGCGUGAAGAUGCGCAUUACCCGCGACAGGACGGAAAGACCCCGUGGAGCUUUACUGUAGCCUGAUAUUGCAUGUUGGUACAGCUUGUACAGGAUAGGUGGGAGCCUUAGAAGCCGGAGCGCUAGCUUCGGUGGAGGCGUCGGUGGGAUACCACCCUGGCUGUACGGACAUUCUAACCCAGGACCGUGAUCCGGUCCGGAGACAGUGUCAGGUGGGCAGUUUGACUGGGGCGGUCGCCUCCUAAAGAGUAACGGAGGCGCCCAAAGGUUCCCUCAGAAUGGUUGGAAAUCAUUCGCAGAGUGUAAAGGCAGAAGGGAGCUUGACUGCGAGACCUACAAGUCGAGCAGGGACGAAAGUCGGGCUUAGUGAUCCGGCGGUGCCGUAUGGAAGGGCCGUCGCUCAACGGAUAAAAGCUACCCCGGGGAUAACAGGCUUAUCUCCCCCAAGAGUCCACAUCGACGGGGAGGUUUGGCACCUCGAUGUCGGCUCAUCGCAUCCUGGGGCUGUAGUCGGUCCCAAGGGUUGGGCUGUUCGCCCAUUAAAGCGGUACGCGAGCUGGGUUCAGAACGUCGUGAGACAGUUCGGUCCCUAUCCGUCGUGGGCGUUGGAAGUUUGAGAGGAGCUGUCCUUAGUACGAGAGGACCGGGAUGGACACACCGCUGGUGUACCAGUUGUUCCGCCAGGAGCAUAGCUGGGUAGCUACGUGUGGAAGGGAUAAGUGCUGAAAGCAUCUAAGCAUGAAGCCCCCCUCUAGAUGAGACUUCCCAUCAUUUUAAAUGAGUAAGAUCCCUCAGAGACGAUGAGGUUGAUAGGUCCGAGGUGGAAGCGUGGUGACACGUGCAGCUGACGGAUACUAAUCGAUCGAGGACUUAACUAU
rnacentral:rRNA from 1 species